AUGGCUCAGGACGAAUGCUGGCGGCGUGCUUAACACAUGCAAGUCGAGCGAUGAAGCUCCUCGGGAGUGGAUAGCGGCGGACGGGUGAGUAACACGUGGGUAACCUGCCUCAUAGAGGGGAAUAGCCUUUCGAAAGGAAGAUUAAUACCGCAUAAGAUUGUAGUACCGCAUGGUACAGCAAUUAAAGGAGUAAUCCGCUAUGAGAUGGACCCGCGUCGCAUUAGCUAGUUGGUGAGGUAACGGCUCACCAAGGCGACGAUGCGUAGCCGACCUGAGAGGGUGAUCGGCCACAUUGGGACUGAGACACGGCCCAGACUCCUACGGGAGGCAGCAGUGGGGAAUAUUGCACAAUGGGGGAAACCCUGAAUGCAGCAACGCCGCGUGAGUGAUGACGGCCUUCGGGUUGUAAAACCCUGUCUUUGGGGACGAUAAUGACGGUACCCAAGGAGGAAGCCACGGCUAACUACGUGCCAGCCGCAGC
rnacentral:rRNA from 1 species